rnacentral:rRNA from 1 species
CCUACGGGAGGCUGCAGUAGGGAAUUUUCGGCAAUGGGGGGAACCCUGACCGAGCAACGCCGCGUGAACGAAGAAGUUCUUCGUAAUGUAAAGUUCUUUUAACAGGGAAGAAAGAGAAAUUUGACGGUACCUGAAGAAUAAGCUCCGGCUAACUACGUGCCAGCAGCCGCGGUAAUACGUAGGGAGCGGGCGUUAUCCGGAAUUAUUGGGCGUAAAGGGUGCGUAGAUGGCAUAGUAAGUCUUUUGUAAAAAUGCGGGGUUCAACCCAGUAGGGCAAAAGAUACUGCAAAGGUAGAGUAUGACAGAGGGGAGUGGAACUACAUGUGUAGCGGUAAAAUGCGUAAAGAUAUGGAAGAACACCAGUGGCGAAGGCGGCUUGCUGG